CCAAGGCUCGAGCGUUGAGCUCCACUCUACGCUACCUUCAAACAAUUUCUAGUGAAGACUUAGUUUGCGAACUCAUUAGUGAAUUACUCCUCGUUUGUGUUUCGAAAUGGUGUGCACUUGCAUGUUACCGGGAUGUUCAGCCAGCACAAGGAAAAUACACGGGAGUACAUUUUCAUAGAUAACCCAAAGAGUUGGAGUUGUGCAAAAAGUGGCUACGGGCUAUCAAUAACCCGAAGUUCGGAGAGGACACAGCCAUUGAAGCACUAAAACAUCUGACGGUGUGCAGUCUACAUUUCAAGGCAGAAGAACCCCUUAGGAGUGAAGAGACCCGCGCUUGUGAAAACCGCAAUUCCGUCGAUAUUUACCUUGCCAGAUGAUGUCGACGAACAGCCAGGAACUUCUGGAACUAGCAGUGCUAGCUGCGCUAAACGCAUUUGCCUGGAGUCACCAUGCCCAAGUACACCUGGCCUUGAUACCAGUGCCAGCAUUGAAGUUGGUGAAACGGAUGAAAGGCACUACAAAACGGGUGGAAGUGCAUUCCACACCAUGUGGUCAAUGAACAUCGAUGGACUGACACGGAUGGAAAGCGGCAUCACUGUGACCAUGCUCCUCUAACAGCUGAGGAGCAGAAGAAGAGGAUGUGGCUGAAGAAGGACUUCGGUGGCAUAUCAGGACCUGGCGUCACUUUCGUCUUUGAUAAAAGGCUUUUGAAAGAUCUUCAGAAGAUGGCCCUCUUCAAACGUACUGGGCCACUGGAGCUCUCCUGAAGUACCUCCCUAAAUGCCAGGCCUUCUCCUACGAGGGAGAGGGCCUACCUCGCCAUCAUGGAACAUAAUGAGAACAUUGUGGCACGAGAACAAGCCACCACGGCAACAGGAGAACCAUGCGUCAAGCAGGUGUUCUGCAAAAAGUCAAAGCAAUGGAUA